ACAUGGGAUGAGGCCACAUCAGAUCCUCAAAACAACAGUAGAGAAAACAGGUGGUUGGACUUGCCCAAGGUCACACAGCUAAUUCCUGCCUUUCCUUGAGAGAAGCCCCCAGGAGACAAACCAGUAUUGCUUGUGUUCCUCACAGCUUAUCUCUGGUAAGCAGGGCUCUAGUUUUCAAACCUAAAGGUC